UACGUAGGGGGCAAGCGUUGUCCGGAUUUAUUGGGCGUAAAGAGCGUGUAGGCGGUUCGGUAGGUCCGUUGUGAAAACUCGAGGCUCAACCUCGAGACGCCGAUGGAAACCAUCGAACUAGAGUCCGGAAGAGGAGAGUGGAAUUCCUGGUGUAGCGGUGAAAUGCGCAGAUAUCAGGAAGAACACCAAUGGCGAAGGCAGCUCUCUGGGACGGUACUGACGCUGAGACGCGAAAGCGUGGGGAGCGAACAGG
rnacentral:rRNA from 1 species